CCUCGUUUCAUCCUGAGGGAGCUGGCUAACACUUUUCUUUAUCUCUAGGGCCAGCAGCUAGUUUAAACGCUUUACUUUCCCGUGUAGGACACAGAAGUAGCACCAGUGCCUGAUGUACUUUUCCCCGUCCCGCUCCUCGCUGUGCUGGCGGAGCUGCCCAGCGCUCGGAUGUGUGGCUGCUGCUCCCACCUCGCCAAGCCACGGCUGUCCGGGGAGGAGAGGAGAUGGAAAGGGAGCAAACUGCGAGGAAAACUUGGGGGAAGGUGUAAUUUGUUUAGGAGUUGAUUUGCUCCGGUUUUGCCGUCGGUAAAUUGGCGGUGACAAACGGGCCCGAGCGAGCCGCUCUGUGCGGCAGUUGCUAACAAUGCAGCCAUUUAACUCGAUAAUCGCUUUCCUCUCCCUCUGGGGAGCUGUUAGCGCCACAAUUCCACUUCAUUUUUAUCCCCGGCUGGCUCGAUUUGUUUUCUAAUACAUAAACAAUUAAUCCUAAGAAGGUGAUGUUGUGAAACUGCCUCUUUCGACAGCGGCAACGAAAGGUCACGGUGUGUAUAAAGGCUUUUGUGAAUCUCGGAGGGAUAAUCCUCUUUUACAAAUGCAGAGCCCUUUUUAACCAUCCACCCUCCUGCGAGUCCCUGAGCUCUGCUUUCCUUGUUUAAUUGUACUUUUAAAGUCUGUUAUGCUCUGCGUGCAGGCCCACGUGCUCUAGUUUUCAUUAAUGUUACGGGAAUGACUUGGGGCACUUACUGUAG